rnacentral:rRNA from 1 species
UAGGGAAUCUUCCGCAAUGGACGCAAGUCUGACGGAGCAACGCCGCGUGAGUGAAGAAGGAUUUCGGUUCGUAAAACUCUGUUGUUAGAGAAGAACAGCGCAUAGAGUAACUGUUAUGCGUGUGACGGUAUCUAACCAGAAAGCCACGGCUAACUACGUGCCAGCAGCCGCGGUAAUACGUAGGUGGCAAGCGUUGUCCGGAUUUAUUGGGCGUAAAGCGAGCGUAGGCGGUAAAUUAAGUCUGAUGUGAAAGCCCACGGCUCAACCCGGGGGGGUCAUUGGAAACUGGUUGACUUGAGUGCAGAAGAGGAGAGUGGAAUUCCAUGUGUAGCGGUGAAAUGCGUAGAUAUAUGGAGACACACCAGUGGCGAAGGCGACUCUCUUGUCUGAAACUGACGCAGAGGCUCGAAAGCGUGGGUAGCAAACAGG